UCUUAACACGGCUUCUUUUAGUGCAAAGAAAUUUUUAUGUGGUGCUAAAUAUUCAUAUUUUUAAGUCUUAAGUGUACGCAAUAGUAAAAGAAUUUUACUACGACUUAUUACUUAAAACCAAUGGAACAUGUAUUAGUAAGAACGAGUAAUUUUUUUUUUCAAUUUAGUGCGCCAUGAUUUUAUUUAAACAUAUGAGUACUUUUCUGCUACAAAAAGCAGUGUAAAAAAGCUGCACAUAUAUUCACAACGAUUAAUUUCUAAUAAACCGUUUAAUAAAAAAUGAUUUUUUUAAAUCAAGUAAAAUAAUUGUGUUACUCCCAUUGUAAACUAUUAAGUGCUCCGCCACUGAUUAUUGUGUUUUAUUUAGUGUAUGGUGGGGAUAGCGCCAUGCUGAAAUGCUUAUUACUUUAUAAUGUGCAUGAACAGCGUUAGUGUGCACCAUAGAUAAUAGGUGUGCACGUGGUGUUGUUGGUAUGCGGUUGUGUUUUGCAGGCCGUACUUUUAAUAAAAAAGCGGUCGUAAUAAAAUUCCUCUACCAUGUACAGCAAUAAUAGUGUUUAAAACCGGUAAACAUUAAUGUGUAUCAUACGUAAUAUUUAUGUCAAGUAAAAUAAUACAUUCCUAUACAACAUUACUUCAAUACACCUGAAAAACAGUAAUAUUUGAAUAUGUGGUGCAUGUGUAUGCGAACUAUCUACUCAUCAGUUCUUUGUCGUCCUUACGUGGUGCUAAAUUUAGAAGUCUGUCGAUUAUCUAAAAUCUGUAGAAAACCCAAAAGAAACUGGACACCAGAAUAUGAUGGCUUUCAAUCAUCAAAUAAUGUAAAAUUGCUUCUAGCAGUUUCCUGAAGAUUACAGCAACGCUGAAAAAUCAGUGGCAGAUCGAGGUAGUUCACAUGCAUAAUUUCACAAUUGACGUUGGACUUAUGGGACUAUUUAACUACAAUGAUAUUGUUUGACUGGUAUGUACCUACUUUUUUAUAUGUAAUGAUAACGUUGGAAACAAUUUUUUUAGUGUCCUUUUGACACAUAUUGGUUGUUAGUAUUUUAUUGCUUUGUACAC